rnacentral:lncRNA from 1 species
GUGACAGACUAGAAGGCCAUCCAUUAAUUUUUGUUUUGUUUAUUUUUAAAAAGGUGUGCGGCUGAUAUGGAGAAUAAGCCAAGUCAACCAGAUGAGUCAGCACAGGCAACAUGAAGGCUUCUCAUUUCCUUCUGGCAUAAUUGCACCAUGAGAGUCACAGAACACUUCAAAUACAAUGAUGGUGAGAGCAACAUGUAUCAAAAAAGUGCAAACCAGACAGAUGUUUGCAUCUGAAAUGACCCUCACAAUGGCCACUGCUGUGGAUUCCUGAUGAGAUUAACAAAGAGGUCAAAUAUUGAGCUGACAUGGAGAAUAUCCUACUCUUAGAUCAAGACUGAGGCCUUUGAAAAGAAAGUGUGUAAAUGCUGGAAUUGAUGCCACCUUGGUUUAACAUCUGUGGAUAGAUGCAAGA